rnacentral:lncRNA from 1 species
CGUCCCUCCGCAGGGCGCAGGCAGCAAACUUUGGCGGCGUCCGCGCGGCGCCGUCUCCGCCGGCGCGCCGGGCUCGCCCCUUUAUAGAGUGUCUGCGCCGCCGCCCGCGCCCCCCCCGCCGCCGCCGCCGGGCGGCCCCUCCCGGAGCGAGCGGCCGCGGGCAGGGCUCCGACCCGGCGCCUUUGUCUCGCCCGGGCCGCUCGGGCGCCGCGCCUCCUGUUCCGGGCGCGCGGGGUCGGCCGGCCGCCUUCGCUGCUCCGCCGCGGCUCUCAGCGCCGCUCAGCGCGGCGGGCCCGCCCGGGCUCAGGUGCCCCCCGCUCUCCGGACCUUCUCGCCCGGCCCCGCGUCCCCUCCGCGGGCUUCCCCCGGCGGCCGGCCGGGCUCGGAGGCUCGCGGCCGGAGCGGAGCGGAGUGCGCACGCCGGGGUGGCAGGACUUCGGCAAGACCAACUUUCCGGUUCGGAAGCGGCGCGGGCCGCGCGGCUCCUCCCCUCCUCUCCCUCCCCUGCGUUCCCCCUCCCUUCCACUCCCCCCUCUCCCCGCCCCCCAACCCGCGGGCCCCACCGACUCCGGAGCGCCCGCCCCGCCCGCUGCUGCCACCGGGCCGCCUCGCCCCCGCGCCAGCCCGCCUGGGCCUCUGCGCCGCCGGCGGCUUCUUAAAUACAGGAAAGGGAGGGGACCGCAGGGCCCCGGUGUUCCCCACCCUAGUCCCCCUUCACCACGGGCCACCGGGCGCCAGCGGAGUGGGCAGCGAGCGCGACCGAAAGUUCCAACUCCACCAAACUCCCGCGCGCGGCCCACCCUUUCCCGGGAUUUCGGGGAUGACACGGGGGCCAGUGGUCCUGUCUGGUGUGAACCGUCAGCACAGAUGGCCUCCUGGAGCUUCCCCGAGUCGUUCGCUGGGGGAAGCGGGCGGUGAGCGGCCAGCCCGGGCGCUCCGCAGGCCGCGAGCUCCCGGCAGGGCUGGUGGCGGGGGUCCGCCUGGGGGAGGAAUCCCCGCCUGCUCCAUCGGACCCGGCCUGGCGCGGCUCGCGGCGCUCGGCGGGCUCCCUUCCAUUCUAGAAUCUUCCCGCUUGCUUCCCAGCCCGCGUUCUUCCGCCUGCCUUUAAUUGUAAGCAGACACAGGUUCCCACGGCGUCUGACGCCUGCGGAGCAAGUCCAGAGCCAGCUGGACUCGCAGCCUCUGGCCCGGCGGCACCAACUCCUCACUGGGUCAUUUUGAGCGCGCUGUGCCCACCUUUUCUGUUGCGUGUGGACGUGGGGAGGAUCUUCUAAGUCCCUCCAACGAAGGCAAGUGUGAGACUCUGGCCCUUUAUUUGUAAGAAGCAAGCCUUCAGAUUGCAGAAGUGUCGCGCGGGUCGCCGUGCGUUGCGCGAGUGGGAAGAUGGAGGAGGCCGGCACGCUGCUUUCGUGGACGCAAGUGAACCGGGCGUGAAGGCAGGGUGCGAGCUCUGCCCUUGGCCCAGCCCUGCGUGGGCGCCGUCCCAGAUUCCGGGCGGUGCGGGGUGCAGAGAUCUGGAGAGACUUGCGGGCUCCCCAGCGCAGGCUGCUCUGGGAUUUCGUUGGAAGAUCCGGCAGAGCCUUGGAGGAGAGGGCCCGGGAGGCUGUGUGUGCAGCGGAAACUUGUACGAAUGCCCCCACAGCGGAAAUGGUGCGCACGAGUAAUUUCUGCGGUGCACCCUUUUAAAAAUUGACAAGUGAACAAGAUCAAUUUUUUAAGAAAGCAAAGGUAGAAAACAAAAGGCGUGCGACUUCUUGACUGGCUUGUUCCCGCCUUUCUUCCUUCUCUAUACUCAGAUCAGAAACUUUUCUUUAAUUGCUCUUAUUCAGUGCGACAACUUUUAAUAAAAGCAUUUGCAUUUUAAGCCUGAGUUGCAACCAUAGAUUUAUUGCGAAGUGACAACGUGUCUAUGGAAUAUUUUCGCAGAUGAGACAGGACAUGCGCUCUAGUCGUGCCCAGAUUAAAGCGACGCUGGGCCAUGUGCCUGUGUAGUGCAGACUCGGAGGGGCACACACAUACUCGUCACCACAUGACCACUGUCUAUUAAUAUUGUCAUACCUAAACACUCGCAAAAACAAAAGUUGCUUUUCUUCCCUGUAAUUAAAUCUAAUUUG